UACGUAGGGUGCGAGCGUUGUCCGGAAUUAUUGGGCGUAAAGAGCUCGUAGGCGGUCUAGCAAGUUGGAAGUGAAAUCCCCGGAGCUUAACUUCGGAAUUGCUUUCAAAACUACGAGACUAGAGUAUGGUAGGGGGUGAUGGAAUUCCUAGUGUAGAGGUGAAAUUCUUAGAUAUUAGGAGGAACACCGGUGGCGAAGGCGGUCACCUGGGCCAUUACUGGACGCUGAGGCGGCGAAAGCGUGGGGAGCAAAC
rnacentral:rRNA from 1 species